CGGGCCGCAGCAGGCGCGAAAACUUUACAAUGCAGGAAACUGUGAUAAGGGAACCCCGAGUGCCCGUAUACGCGGGCUGUCCAGGUGUUUAAAAAGCAUCUGAAGAAAGGGCCGGGCAAGACCGGUGCCAGCCGCCGCGGUAAUACCGGCGGCUCGAGUGGUGGCCACUAUUAUUGGGCUUAAAGCGUCCGUAGCUGGACCNAUAAGUCUCUUGGGAAAUCCGCCGGCUUAACCGGCGGGCGUCUAAGAGAUACUGGUGGUCUAGGGACCGGGAGAGGUGAGAGGUACUCCGGGGGUAGGAGUGAAAUCCUGUAAUCCCUGGGGGACCACCGAUGGCGAAGGCAUCUCACCAGAACGGCUCCGACAGUGAGGGACGAAAGCUGGGGGAGCGAACCGGAUUAGAUACCCGGGUAGUCCCAGCCGUAAACUAUGCGCGUUAGGUGUACCGGUGACCACGAGUCACNAC
rnacentral:rRNA from 1 species